AGGAGACUUGGGGUGGUGAACACACAGUACAAUAUACAGGACUUCCCACCAGAGGGGCUUGAGAUGGCCAGUUGGGGGACAAUGGAAGAUACCCCACUCUCCAUGCCUAGGGAACGAUUCCCACCUGAAGUGGUCCUGAAUUGAACUGGGGAGAGUAAUACCAAGUUCAGCAUUCUGUUUAUUGUACAGGACAAGUUAUGAAUACAGACUAUGUUGAAAAUUGAAGGGGACAUUUUUUUUUUAACUUCAGAUUGAGCAAAAUGCCAUAGCCCUGAUGAUAUUUUAUCCGAUGGCUGGGGAAAAAUAAAAAAAAUAAAAAAUAAAAA